CGGAGUGUUAAAUCAGCCAAUAAGGUUGAAGCUUUUUUCCAUGUCAGAAAUGAGAUAUUCAAUUUCUGCUUUCUUACCCGAUCUUCACGCCUUCCACCUCUUCCCUUUCUCUUAUCUCCACAUCGGUUCCGUCAAUUAACUUCAUCACUUACCUUCCACCUCUUCCCUUUCUCUUAUCUCCACAUCGGUUUCGUCGAUUAACUUCAUCGCUAAGUGCUCCAAUCAAACCUUGAAUGAACACAUUCAAUUAUACCUUUCACCUUUCUGUUUUUCUAUUUAUACAUCUCAUUUCCUAUCUUAUGUCUCCAUCGAAGUUUAUAAGAUUCUAUCACACUCAUCGCGAUGAAACACACUAGCAACUCUUCACUCUCCAGCGACGGCAGGACCAGCAAGACGACCGUUGCCUCCUCUGCGACUGCGAGUCUCCUCAAGGUGGUGGUCUGAGAACCGGUGCUUCAUGUAGCUGGCACCUCGAGAAGAUAUGUAAUUGGUUCGCGGUGAAGGGUCCGGUGAGAAGUUCGAGUGCCAAGAUGAGGUUCGUUUCUACUAAAGUUUUGAUUUUUAGCAUGGGAACUUGAAAUGAAUGUGAAAGUUUGAGACUUUAUCACUGGCAGUUAUGCAAGUGAUGCUUUGAUAAGCUGAGGUUCUUGAGUGUGAUAGAGCCUGCUUUGCUUGGAGAUGGUGGUGACAAAGGAAGAACUUAUAGACUGUCUGUCUUGGAACCAUUUCUCAGAGUGGUACUUCAAAAUUCUUGAAGGCUCUUAAGGAAACCAAGGAUCUUGCUGCUGACAAGACAUGUUUCUUCUUCUCAAUCCUCGGGACGAAGGUGAUUUCACCAAGCUCCAUCUCCAGCAAGUGCUCAAGUUGUAAUGAACUACGCUUAAAACAGUAGGAAGCAAUCUGCUUCAAAUUGAGAGAUGCGUCUCUAAAGGGUGCUUUAGCUUUUUACUCUGAUGGUCGUUACUUGGCGACUAGAGGAGUUGAUCGCCAUGUUCAUAUAUCGGACGUCACAGGAACACUGUUUCUUCCCUAUGUUUCAGACACAGAACUGCAGAGCUCUACUCUGGUUCAUUUGAUCGAAGUGUCAAGGCGUGCACUUACGGUUGGGAGAGAUAGAGUCAUGCAACUACACAAGGAGGGUAAAAAGGCAGAGAAGCUUGAUGGAGGAGGUGGCAAAAGGGGAAAACACCAGCAUCUGGCAUGUCUCCACAUCUUAAUAGCUUAUGAGAUCACUAUGAAGAUUUCUGAGAUACAACUUCUUAAAAACCCAGCAUCUCUGUUGGGUCAUUGAUGCAAAUCGAAACUGAAUAAGACCCACCCACAGUUGCUUCCUUUUGAUGACUUAUAAGAUUGAAGUUCGCUGCUAAAGUCUAAACAUGUUUUUUCUGAUUCGUACUAUGUAAAUGUAUCAACUCUAUAUCGAAACAAUAAGAAGGAGAAGAAGAGGAACAGCAAAAGAUAUGGGAAGCUAUGAAUAUGGUUCGAUUAGGUUCUUAAGUGAAGCUAAAGACAUUGGUGGGAGCGGUUUCGUUGAGAUUCUGAAGUUUCUUGCAGUCCACUACUCAGAGUAUUGACUGUUGCGGUGUCGGUGGUGGAUCCUCCUAUCAUGUACAUCGUAUCUGCAAUCCAGUCUCCGUAGAAGCAUAUGAUCUAAUUGUCAGUCAAGUUUGAGUCUUUUUGGGAGUUUAGUUUAUUACAGGUAGCUGUAUUAAUUUGUUUCAGCAAAUAGUUUCGAUUAACGCAGAAACUGUUUGGAGUGGCAAAAGACUAGAGUUGUAGCAUCUCUAUACUGUUGUCGGGGCGGGGCAUGUUGGUUUAUAAAAUUUUGUUUGUGAUUUGGAUUCUCUUUAAGGAAUUACAUAUAUUAUUAAUUUUUGCUAUGAUAAAAAUGUUUCAUUA